GGACGGGGACGCCGAGAGCAGGUUACUGUUACCGGAGGAAGGAAACGAGCCUCUGCGACACUCCAGCAACACCUCGGUGCUCCCCACAUCGUUGAAGCCCGUGUCCGACGGCAGGACGAGAAUCGGCGGCACGGUGGUAACAUCAUUGUUUCCUGCAGCAUCUAUGUAAUUUUUCUACACAUCACUGCACAGUAUGAGGGCUGCUGAGGCACUAACUGAGCUGUCAAUGCAGUGUUGCCUGACUGCAGCUUUGAUUGGCUGUUGGCACUUUGUUAUGAAACCUCAGUGGAUUUUCUUUGCACUGAUCCCUGCAGUGACACCACGACUGGGCUAAGUGAACUUGGUUGGUGUCGCAGGACAACCACACUGUGAAGCAUGACUGGUACCCUGCUAAAUAUAACCUGUAGGGCACAGGACACUGUAAUCCUUGCAGGCUUGGAGUUUGUCAUCGUACACUAACCCUCCUGAUCCCCUACAUCUGCAGAGCAACCGAUGAACUGCAACUGACCUUCCAGCUGAGUUAGAACAAUAACAGGAUGGAGAUCCAAAGCUGAUGUCAUUUUAACUCAGCUCGAUUUCACUGGAAAUUCUUAUUGCAAUUGCAUGAUGUCAUGUUAUGUAUUAAGGUGCAUGGUUUUGCUUACGUGGAACAGAUGGAACAGACGGGGCCUCAACUACAGCAAAUAGGAAAGACAAAAACAAUUAUGCGAAACUCUAAAGCUUCACAUUAGAGCUUGUAACAAAGACCAAAAUAUGCUGUAAGUUUGUUUAUGAUAGGGCGUGCACUAAACUGCAGUGUACAGCAUUGUUUUUCAGUCUCUCCUUUAAAGUGUGAUUUCUAUUCUUAUGUGUCUGCACAAAAAGGUGAUAAAUAAAAGAACUAAUAUACAGGGUUUUAAUGUGUGCCACGAGUACUUCAGUGGGUUUUGGAAUUGACUGUCUUUGCAUUCUUAGGACUAAUGGAAAUAAAACAAUGUAAGAGUCAAGAUGCUGGUGGUGAGUUUUGUGGAAUAUGUUUAAAAUCUUCCUUAGGUCUUCAGCUGGGUUGAGAUAUGAUUACAGUGAAGGCCUUAGCAGAUAAUUCGCAUCCUUUUCUUGCUUGUCAAACUGUUCUGUGAUGGCUCAUUCCAUAUAGAUCGAGACACCGUUAUCCUGGAAUGGACCACAUCAGGACAGAGAUCUUUCAUCAUAAAGGUGAACAGUUUUGCAUUGAUUUACAGAGUACUUUCCUUCUACGGGACAAGUGGCUCAAAAUUAUACAGCAAAACUCCUUCAGCAGCAAACUAGAGCCACCAGAUCACCUUACUGCAUUUUUAAAGUAAAAUCAAAAAUAAAUAUGAACCUUAUUAAGCUAUACUUUAUUUUCAGACGAUGUUUGUAUAAUAAAAUUAUUAUUAUUAUAAAAUUAUCUCAGUGGAGAUCUAACAGAAUUGUAGAUGUAUAUACGUUUGAAGGUCUUCUGAAGCCAUUCAUAAACAACUGCAGAUCAUCAGUUUUAACAAGUACACAAAAUACAACAUAUUCAGAUGUGUCACCAAUUUGCAGAGGUCUGAAAGAAGAUCUAAAGUGUCACCAUCAGAUGAGUGAAAACUGGUUAGAGGUAAUCCAGAUUUUCAGCCACCCGCAUGGACAAGCUAAAUGUUCUCUGGAGAAAGGUUUUAUGGUCAGAUGGGACAAACGUGGAAAUAUUUGGCCACCAUGACACGAUGUAUGUUUAGAGGAGUCAGGGUGAGACUUUCAAACCUAAGAACACUGUACCAGCUGUCAGCUCUUUAGCCACCAGUGUCACUGAUGCACUGCACAAAAAGGAUGAAAAAAUAAAAAAAGAUGACAACCUUAGUUAGACAGUUAAAACUUGGAUAAAGUGUUCCAGCAGAACAAUGAUCCCUGGGAUGGACUUCCAAAUCCCAGAAUUCAGCUCUAUUUUAAAUUUCCGAACUCUAAAAUCCACCAAAUCAACCAAUUUAAAUAAAGUCCAUCAGGGAGAGUGUUUAAAUAUAAAGCUGAAAUUAUUCCAGAAGCUUGUUGAUGGCUACCAAAAGCAUCUGCUGGAGGGAAUUUAACCAAAUAUUAAAGAGCAUGUCCGUAAAUGUGUGGAUUAGAUAAAAGUAACUUUGAAAUGUAACUUUAAUAUUGAUAUUUCUUCAACACAAUACACAGGUAUUUUUUUUGGGGGGGGGGGUUAACAUUUUUAAAUAUAAUGCAAUAUCAUCGAAGCUGCACAUAUUUAGUUUAAAUAAGGCAAAUAGAUAAAACAGCUAUUUCAAAAUCGAAUAAUAAAUUGGGCCUUUAAAUUAAUAAUUUAAUACGAAAUGGGUUUUUUUUUUUUUUUUUUAAAAGCCAGCAAAUUUGGUUACUAACAAAAACUUAAACCCAUCUUUUGGAUUUGGGGGAUUUUGUGAUAGUAUAGGAAAGCAUGAACACAGGAUUACCCAGUGCUUCAUAUGACAAGCAGUGAAAGAGGGAUUUUCUCCCUGUGUGUGUGUGUGUGCGUGUGUGUGUGUGUGUGUGUGUGUGUGUGUGUGUGUGUGUGUGUGUGCGUAGAAAGAAAGAUGACAUUAUGAUAUGUUAGUAAACGUUACCACAUGGAUGAUUCCAGAGAUUACAGAGUUGUAAUCUGAUGAUGAGGAUUGAAUUUAUACAAUGCUACACACACACACACACACACACACACACACACACACACACACACACACACACACACACAUACUUUGCUUUGCCUUGCAAUUAUUUCCUACAGGCUUAGCUCAACAUAAUUUAUCUUCAGUUCUCAUAAUAGAACUGAACAUUAUCUAAUUGCUUUUCCUGGUAUCAUCUUCGCUUGCCAAAUUAAGUUUCAAGACACAAAAACUGUAAUCUCGACCUCUGACUUUAGAUGUGGGUCAAGAAGUAACUGGAAAAUGAAGAAUGAGCCUGGAAAAGCUUACAUGAACAGAAAAGAAAGCCUUUCAUUAUUUGUCAGUUUUGUAAAGUGUGAAAAAGCUUAGUCACAAGGUAUUUUGUGGUGUUUUUCGAUAUUAGAUGGAAAACUGUAAAAAUCUCUAGUUCACCCAUUUUCUCCUCUCUGCUUCUGUAACACCCAGUACUCUCCAUGAAUUCAUAUUUUUAAAGCACUUUUCUGCAGAGCCGUUCGCAGCGCCUCUCUUCCAUUUGUUCAUUCUCAAGAGAUUAAAACCAGCCUUUUGGCUAACGAUGAUGCAUUUAGAGGACUGUGUAUCGCUUCUGAUGAAAAUAAAGUUACAAAUAAAUGCAGGCAGCUUUGUUCUCUUACAUAAUGAGACUAAGUGACUCGGGUGAGGCUCAUGGGUGUACUGACUCUCUUGGGCUCUGAUGCUAAGUGAGGCUGGCAUAGAGGGCUGGAGGGGAGAGAAGCAGUGUACCAUGGGAAGGUCAUGAUGCUGCUGCCAUGAUAAUGGGUCAAUGCACCAUUGGGAGGGAGACAAAUCUAUCUGUUUCUAUCUAUUUGAGAUCCAGUGAUGUAAAUCAAGUUUUUUCUUUUUGAAUCCUGCCAUGCCUCCGUGUGGUGACAUGUGGAUAUUACACUCCCAUCAGAAGAUAAUACUACAGUCUCUUUGUGUAAAGAAUGGUGACUGAUAUGAUUUAAUGCUAAAUAUCACAUUUUUUUUAAAAAAAAGGAAAAAAAUUAAUUCAAUUUUUUGUUUCCAUUUUGAUUUUCCAUCUAAACUUUCACAGGGCAACACAGCUCAAAUGAUGUUUCAUUACUUUUAUGUUUUAUUUAGGUAUUUCUUGUCAAGUUAUUGAACAUGUAAAAAUAAAAACACACAAUGCACAUGCUCACACCUUUAGCCUUUGUGAUUAUGUCUUAAUAUAAUGUAUUUGUGCUUGUACUUGACUCUUUUAUUGAAAUAUGUGUCACUUGUGCUUCAAAAUGAAGAUUUCAAAACCAGACAGUGGCUAUGUGCAUUGUUUUGCAAGGAAGCACACUCCAUUGGUUGAAAACACAUUAGUGCCAAACAAAAUUUAAAGGAAAAAUAAUAAUAAAAUAAUUAAUCGUUAAUCUUCUUAUUCUGAAUGAAGGAUUUCAGUUCACAAACUGCGCAUUUCUUUUUUUCUGCCUCAGAGCUUGAAUUUCAAUCGAAAACAUGAAAAUAAAAAA